rnacentral:miRNA from 1 species
UUGCUUUUUAACAAGUUUCACUA